rnacentral:rRNA from 1 species
UACGAAGGUGGCAAGCGUUGUUCGGAUUUACUGGGCGUACAGGGAGCGUAGGCGGUUCGGUAAGCCCUUUGUGAAAUCUCCAGGCUUAACCUGGAACAGUCGGAGGGGACUGCCGGGCUAGAGGACGGGAGAGGAGCGCGGAAUUCCCGGUGUAGCGGUGAAAUGCGUAGAGAUCGGGAGGAAGGCCGGUGGCGAAGGCGGCGCUCUGGAACGUUUCUGACGCUGAGGCUCGAAAGCGUGGGGAGCGAACAGG